UGUGUAGACGGCAUGUUAAGUCCGCUGUUAGAUUUCCCGGCCUAACUGGGAGCCAGCGGUGGAUACUGGCGUGCUAGAGGAUGGAAGAGAGAAGUGGAAUUCCCGGAGUAGCGGUAAAAUGCGUAGAUCUCGGGAGGAACACCAAUGGCGAAGGCAGCUUCUUGGUCCAUAUCUGACGUUGAGACACGAAAGCGUGGGAGCAAACA
rnacentral:rRNA from 1 species